rnacentral:misc_RNA from 1 species
UCCGGCUUGACGCCGGCAGUCCCCCGAGAGUCCUCAGCAUGACCUGUUAGUAACACGGGGCAAGGGUUGCGCUCGUUGCGGGACUUAACCCAACAUCUCACGACACGAGCUGACGACAGCCAUGCAGCACCUGUGCUGGUGUUCCGAAGAAGGGCCCAACUUUCGUCGGGCUUUCACCAGCAUGUCAAACCUAGGUAAGGUGGGGAUGACGUCAGGAUAG